rnacentral:rRNA from 1 species
UAUGUGAUCGUCUCUCGCAUAUCAAUAAGCGGAGGAAAAGAAACUAACAAGGAUUCCCCUAGUAACGGCGAGUGAAGCGGGAAGAGCUCAAAUUUGAAAUCUUAAAGGGUUUCCCUUUACGAAUUGUAGUUUAAAGAAGUGUUUUCUGUUGAGGUUUUGGUAAAAGUUCUUUGGAAUAGGACAUCAUAGAGGGUGAGAAUCCCGUAUUUGACCUUUACUUUCAACUUUGUGAUACACUUUCAAAGAGUCGGAUUGUUUGGGAAUGCAGUCCAAAAUGGGUGGUAAAUUUCAUCUAAAGCUAAAUAUUGGCGAGAGACCGAUAGCGAACAAGUACCGUGAGGGAAAGAUGAAAAGAACUUUGAAAAGAGAGUUAAACAGUACGUGAAAUUGUCAAAAGGGAAGCGUUUGACACCAGUGUUGUUUUUCUGAAAAUCAAUUAAAGAACUGUUUAUGCUAAGCUGUUUAGACUUUAUCAGCUAAUCUGUUUAGUUUUGAGCUUUUCUUUAAUGCACUUUUCAGUUAACAAGUCAACAUCAAUUUCUUUUGCUGUAAAAAAGCUUGAGGAAGGUGGCUUGAGAUUCGUCUUAAGUGUUUAUAGCCUCUUGCCUAUGCAGUCGGAGAGACUGAGGUCUGCAGCGUAGAUCCUUCGGGGCUAAAUGCAUUUGUGCUAAGUUAUAGCAUUUUAUAGACAACUUGUUGACUAUGAUUUGUCUUGUAGCUUACUCACUUAUGUUAUUUUACCUACGCUUAGGAUGUUGAAGACUCUACAGAGAUA